AAAACGACUCUCGGCAACGGAUAUCUCGGCUCUCGCAUCGAUGAAGAACGUAGCGAACUGCGAUACUUGGUGUGAAUUGCAGAAUCCCGUGAACCAUCGAGUCUUUGAACGCAAGUUGCGCCCGAAGCCAUCAGGCCGAGGGCACGUCUGCCUGGGCGUCACGC
rnacentral:rRNA from 2 species